AGGCUACAAUAGCUAAUAACCUAAUAACGCCACAGCCCUACCACUGACUGACUGGGUCGUAUUAAACUCCAGUCUUCAUGGAGCCCUCCCGAUGCGUGUCCACGGCUCUGAAGCGCCUACCUUUCAACAACACCGCGCUGAAAAAGCUGCCGGUGGACGACUCCGAGGAGCCCGGGUCCCGGACGGUCCCAGCGGCAUGUUACUCCAGAAUCCGGACUCUCCAGCCCCUGAUACGUCCGACCUUCGUGGCCCAGUCCCUGUCAGCGCUGGCUCUGCUCGACCUGAGUGAGCGGGAUGUGUUGAGUAAUCCCCUGGCUCCGGAGUAUCUGAGCGGCUCCCGGCUGCUGCCGGGCUCCGAGCCGGCUGCGCACUGUUACAGCGGGCACCAGUUCGGCCUGUUUGCGGGACAACUGGGAGAUGGAGCGGUGAUGUACCUGGGGGAGGUAGAGUCGGGCACCCAUGGGCGAUGGGAGAUUCAGGUGAAAGGCGCAGGAGUCACACCUUACUCCAGAGAUGGUGAUGGCAGGAAGGUGCUUCGCUCCAGCAUCAGAGAGUUCCUGUGCAGCGAGGCCAUGGCCGCCCUGGGGAUACCCAGCACCCGUGCAGCCUCGCUUGUCACCUCCGACCUCUACGUCACCAGGGAUCCACUCAACAGCGGCAGGCGCAUUCCGGAGCGCUGUUCAGUUGUCCUUCGUCUCGCCCCGUCCUUCAUCAGAUUUGGAUCUUUUGAGAUCUUUCUGGGCCGAGAUGAUUUCUCAGGCCUGCAGGGUCCCAGUGCAGGACGGCAUGACAUUCGUGCUCAGCUGCUGGAUUAUGUCAUUGAGGCUUUUUAUCCUUAUAUCCAACAGACUCAUAGCAACCGGAAAGACAGGAAUAUGGCUUUUUUCAGAGAGGUGAUGAAGCAAACCGCUAAGCUAGUGGCCCAGUGGCAGUGUGUCGGAUUUUGCCAUGGCGUCCUUAACACAGACAACAUGAGCAUCUUGGGUCUUACUCUGGACUAUGGACCCUUUGGUUUCAUGGACAGGUUUGAUCCAGAUUUCGUUUGCAACAACUCCGACAAAAGAGGCCGCUACUCGUACCAAGCCCAGCCAUCUAUGUGCCGCUGGAACCUGGCCCGUCUGGCAGAGGCGUUGGAUUCUGAGCUGGAUGCAGCCGAGGCCGGGGCUGUCCUGGAUCAAUUCAUGCCCACAUACGAAGCCUUCUACCUGUGUAUCAUGAGGAAAAAGCUGGGCCUUGUUGGAAAAGAAGAGCCGGAGGACAGCGAACUCAUAUCAGACCUACUGCGCCUUAUGCACAACACUGGUGCAGAUUUCACCAACACCUUCCGCCUGCUGAGCCGUGUCCCCUGGCCUGACGAGGGCCACAGUGGGAGGGCCACAGUGGAGCCAGUAGUACACCUCAUCCUAGAGCAGUGUGCCUCUAUUGAGGAGCUAAAGCAUUGUGGGGAAAAAGCUUACCAAGACAAUAUUGAAUUGGCGAUGAUUCUGUCCAUGGCACAAACUAACCCAGUCAUGUUUGGGAUGGUGGCCGAUAGGCCAGCUGUGUCCCAGCAACUGGAACUGAUGGGACGGCUAAAGGAGCUGCUUGAGACAGAUGAGGAUGAGCUUAAGAAAAAGCAGCGCGGUGACUGGAUUUGCUGGGUUAGCCGAUACAGGAGGCGUUUAGCCAGGGAGUGUGAUGGCACAGGUGACCUGUCACUAAUAAAAAAGGAGAGGCUCAGUGUGAUGAACAGCACCAACCCCAGUGUUGUCCUACGCAACUACAUCGCCCAGAAUGCAAUUCAGGCUGCAGAAAAUGGAGACUUCUCUGAGGUCAACACGCUCCUCAAAGUUCUGGAGAAUCCAUAUUCUGAUGCAUUUGCGGAGCCUUUGGAUGGACCUAAUGCAUGUGGUGAAAAGGAGCAGAACAACAGGAUACUUGCCUACAACAGGAAACCUCCCGCCUGGGCACAAACGAUCUGCAUCACCUGAUCAUCGUAGAGUCUUUCAGACAGGUCAGGGAGAGAGGUUUUUUCCAACCGGUGGACCACCUAAGCCUCAGUAUUCAGAGUAAAACACCAUGUGGGUUGGCAGUACUGUUACUGCUGCUCCUGUCGUUGCUCUCUACUUCCACCUCAGACUUUCCUUCCUGCUGCCUGAAAAGAGGAUGUUAUGUAACCCAGUGCGUUCCAGUGUUCAUCAGUAUGGUCAUAGAUUAAUGUCUGUGUGAUCACGACGCUUUUAUUGCAGUGUUUAAAGUGGUUGAAGAGUAAUACAUAGCCCUGGAUUUGACCAAAGUUGACCGAAUGGUUACCCCUACAUGUAGUCAAUGAAUUUGCUGAUGAAGUAUGACGGCUCAGAUGACCAGUCACUCUGUGACCUGUCUGGGUCUGAAACACCAGGAACACACUACUGUCGACAUAUUAGAAUGAUUAUUAUUUUGUU